AGCAACAAAUGCCCUGCUUCCAGGAAAAGCCUCUAAGCAUCAGGUAACAUCAAAUCGUACCCCAAACCGACACAGGUGGUCAGGUAGAGAAUACCAAGGCGCUUGAGAGAACUCGGGUGAAGGAACUAGGCAAAAUGGUGCCGUAACUUCGGGAGAAGGCACGCUGACACGUAGGUGAAGUGAUUUACUCAUGGAGCUGAAGUCAGUCGAAGAUACCAGCUGGCUGCAACUGUUUAUUAAAAACACAGCACUGUGCAAACACGAAAGUGGACGUAUACGGUGUGACGCCUGCCCGGUGCCGGAAGGUUAAUUGAUGGGGUCAGCGCAAGCGAAGCUCCUGAUCGAAGCCCCGGUAAACGGCGGCCGUAACUAUAACGGUCCUAAGGUAGCGAAAUUCCUUGUCGGGUAAGUUCCGACCUGCACGAAUGGCGUAAUGAUGGCCAGGCUGUCUCCACCCGAGACUCAGUGAAAUUGAACUCGCUGUGAAGAUGCAGUGUACCCGCGGCAAGACGGAAAGACCCCGUGAACCUUUACUAUAGCUUGACACUGAACAUUGAGCCUUGAUGUGUAGGAUAGGUGGGAGGCUUUGAAGUGUGGACGCCAGUCUGCAUGGAGCCGACCUUGAAAUACCACCCUUUAAUGUUUGAUGUUCUAACGUGGACCCGUUACCCGGGUUGCGGACAGUGUCUGGUGGGUAGUUUGACUGGGGCGGUCUCCUCCUAAAGAGUAACGGAGGAGCACGAAGGUUGGCUAAUCCUGGUCGGACAUCAGGAGGUUAGUGCAAUGGCAUAAGCCAGCUUGACUGCGAGCGUGACGGCGCGAGCAGGUGCGAAAGCAGGUCAUAGUGAUCCGGUGGUUCUGAAUGGAAGGGCCAUCGCUCAACGGAUAAAAGGUACUCCGGGGAUAACAGGCUGAUACCGCCCAAGAGUUCAUAUCGACGGCGGUGUUUGGCACCUCGAUGUCGGCUCAUCACAUCCUGGGGCUGAAGUAGGUCCCAAGGGUAUGGCUGUUCGCCAUUUAAAGUGGUACGCGAGCUGGGUUUAGAACGUCGUGAGACAGUUCGGUCCCUAUCUGCCGUGGGCGCUGGAGAACUGAGGGGGGCUGCUCCUAGUACGAGAGGACCGGAGUGGACGCAUCACUGGUGUUCGGGUUGUCAUGCCAAUGGCACUGCCCGGUAGCUAAAUGCGGAAGAGAUAAGUGCUGAAAGCAUCUAAGCACGAAACUUGCCCCGAGAUGAGUUCUCCCUGAGACUUAAAGUCUCCUGAAGGAACGUUGAAGACGACGACGUUGAUAGGCCGGGUGUGUAAGCGCAGCGAUGCGUUGAGCUAACCGGU
rnacentral:rRNA from 1 species